CACAGUUAGUAACGAUAUAAUAUUUGAAGAAUAUCACAAUUGAGUUAGAUUUAAUGUUAUUAUUAUUCGAUUAUACAUUCUCGUUGAAGAUUAUUUAUUAAUAGACAAAAUAUGUUGAAUUUUAUUUUACUUAUAUUAUUUAGGUAUUUUA